AGAAGGGCUUCCGGGACGGAGACGUUUCGGGGGCCUUUUUCUUUUGC
rfam:Methylosinus sp. 3S-1 3S1contig113, whole genome shotgun sequence.